rnacentral:lncRNA from 1 species
GAUUGCUUCUGGUGGCGAGGUGGGGUCCCAGAAAGGACACACAUUCUGAAAUUAAACUUAGGUUCAAAUUCUUCAUCCACCCCGUUCUGCCUCUGGGAUCGUGAUUAACCCCACUGAGCCUCAGUGUUCCCAUGUUUAGAGUGGGCCUAGCAGGACUGACCUCUGCACACCGUUAUGGGGAUUAACUACUUCGGGUCAAGUGCUGGAGGGUUAGGUGAUUAUGGUUGUUCUAGGGAAGUCGGAAGCACUAGUCAUCUGUGUGCAGAUUAAAUCAAGCAAGAAAGUCCUAAUCUAACCAGAAUCAGGGUGGAACGAAAGAAAAUUCACUGAUCUGUAAUUCUGGGGCUGUCAGGAGAUGUUCCAAGCCAUUUUAUAAGAAAGUGUUCUGUGGUCACAUAACGGAGAGACACUCUGUACCUCAUCCCCCCUCUCACAUUAUCAUAGGGAAGACUUCAAGAAGUCCUGCAAUCCAUCAUGCCCUUGGUUCUCCCUGACAUUUUCCCAGCUUCUCAACCAGUGAACCCUUUUCCCGAGGGGGAUGGGACACACUGUGCUCCAGAAUCUAGUUCAGGGAUCUGCAAACUACACUCUGUGGCCCACUACUUGUUUUUGUAAAUAAAGUUUUAUUGGGACACACUCAGCGCCCAUUCACUAAUGUAUUGUCUGUGGCUGCUGUUGAGCUACCAUGGCAGAGUUGAGGAGAGGUGACAGAGAUAGAAAAAUUGAAAGAAAUCCAAAAUAUUUAUCAUCUGGUCCUUUAAGGAAAAGUUUGCUGACUUUGAAGUUAGUGUGAAGAGGGAGAUCAUAUGGUGUGGCCACAAACCAGAGGAUGCUGGGGGCUGCCUGAAGGGAGCUGAAAGAGGCUGAGUCUCCAGAGGGAGCAUGGCCCAGUCAAC